UUUAAGAGUGACAGAAAGUGUGACUCUAGUGGUUGGGUCACAUGACCUGUGAACAGAAAGUGAAAGAGCAUUAGAGAGCAUGGUGGUAUUUUCAAAUGGCAGUAGCAAUCCAGGGACAUCUGCCUGAACAUUCUUGUUUUUGAUAGCAUCGUGGUUUCACCCUUUUCUGAGGUACCAAUCAACCUGUGGACAAGCA